rnacentral:rRNA from 1 species
UACAGAGGUCCCAAGCGUUGUUCGGAUUCACUGGGCGUAAAGGGUGCGUAGGUGGUGAGGAAAGUCGGAUGUGAAAUCUCCGGGCUUAACCCGGAAACUGCAUUGGAAACUGCCUUGCUAGAGGUUUUGAGGGGGGACUGGAAUUCUCGGUGUAGCAGUGAAAUGCGUAGAUAUCGUAAGGAAGACCAGUGGCGAAGGCGGGUCUCUGGACAGCUCCUGACGCUGAGGCGCGAAGGCUAGGGGAGCAAACGGG